AGCUUGCAAGGGCUGCCCAGAAGCACAGAGGAGUCAACUUCCCCAGAAACAGUUUUCAAACAGUGAGGGAGGGAGACAAUGAGGAAAGGCUCCAGCUAUCAUCCGUGAGCAUUUUUGCCAUCAACCUUUAGGCUGUGGAGCUGGAGUGGAAAAGUAGAAAGAGAUGAUGUAACAGAAGCCACAUCAGACAGGAAAGGGAAAGGAGUUGCUAGGAACCCAUGAGGUUUAAGAAAAUGUUGCAAGCCGUCAAGCUAUUGUUGCAUGUUCUCCCAGCCCCACCUUCAUGCUGCAAGAUGUGUCCAGACUGGUAGCUUGAAGCAGUCUUUGCGUGUUACGCAAGAGAUCCAGAAGCAUCUGCACCACUGUGGUAAACAGAGAAAGUGGCUGAGAAUUGAGAAUUGGCAGGCCUGCCCAAAGGUCGCUCUGCACUGGAGGUACAGGGACCCCGCCCCGUUUUAUGGAGGUGUGACAAGAGGCUGCACGUUGGCAGCUCAAAGCUGAGGGUCCAGGUGGUAGUUGUACCAAGUCUCUGGGGGCAGUGGCUGGAGCAAAAGCCCAGCAGCAGGGUGACAGGGCCAGAACACUGCAAGAUAUCCAGCCACAGAUCCCUCAACAAGGAUGUGGAAGGACAGAGACUCCUGUCCAAAGGCGUUGAGCUCCCUUUUCCCACGGAGGAGCAAAAGCCAUAUGGCUCAGACCAGAGGUCCGUCUCCAAUUCUGUGCCCCUGUAGCACUCAGGAAACAGAGAGGGAGGAGGGGUGCACAGAGAGCCCCUGGAAGGGCUGAGAAGCUAUUGCAGAGUGAACUUACUCACAGAGAAUGAGAGUCGAUUUUAACCAGAAAAGCUGGAGUAUAAUUUCCCCCCACCUUCGUUUCAUUUGGAGACUUUGAAACAAGAUAAAAAAAAAUAUUCAGGGAACAAUAAAGAAACACCUUAUUUCCUUGCACAUCUGAAUUGUAAUGCAUAAAUUGUAAUCCAGUUACAAAAGUAUACAGUGGCCAGUGGCAUUGUCCUAAAAGGCUAUGUGAAACCAACUGCUUUAAAUCACAUUUCCUGCGUUGUAAAACUCUCUUGGUUGAAAGAAUAAUAGUUUAAACAUUUUUGUGUCAUCUGCUCCAGAGCGUAUGAUGGUUCUCUGAUCUGCAGAUUCUUUACGGGAAAGGAUUAUAGUUCACCAUUUUUCAUCCUGUAAUUGAUACACUAACUGCCUAUCGAGACCCAAGAUUUCAGAGGCAAAAUACAGCUACUGGCUUUGUCUGUAUGUCUUACUCAAAAAAAAAAAAAAAAAAAAAAAAAAAAAAAUUAAAUAAA